UACGUAGGGUGCGAGCGUUAAUCGGAAUUACUGGGCGUAAAGCGUGCGCAGGCGGUUAUAUAAGACAGAUGUGAAAUCCCCGGGCUCAACCUGGGACCUGCAUUUGUGACUGUAUAGCUAGAGUACGGUAGAGGGGGAUGGAAUUCCGCGUGUAGCAGUGAAAUGCGUAGAUAUGCGGAGGAACACCGAUGGCGAAGGCAAUCCCCUGGACCUGUACUGACGCUCAUGCACGAAAGCGUGGGGAGCAAACAGGAUUAGAUACCCUGGUAGUCCACGCCCUAAACGAUGUCAACUGGUUGUUGGGUCUUCACUGACUCAGUAACGAAGCUAACGCGUGAAGUUGACCGCCUGGGGAGUACGGCCGCAAGGUUGAA
rnacentral:rRNA from 1 species